AAUCUUAAAUAAAAUUAAAUUGCAAAUUUAAUAAUGAACAAAUUUCUAAGAUUU
rnacentral:tRNA from 1 species